UGGAUGGCAUUGAUGUAAUCUGAUCUCAGGU
rnacentral:piRNA from 1 species